rnacentral:rRNA from 1 species
UACGUAGGUGGCGAGCGUUGUCCGGAUUUAUUGGGCGUAAAGCGCGCGCAGGUGGUGCGGUAAGUCUGUCGUGAAAUCUCCUGGCUCAACUGGGAGGGUGCGGUGGAGACUGCCGGACUGGAGGCACUCAGAGGCCGGUGGAAUUCCCGGUGUAGUGGUGAAAUGCGUAGAGAUCGGGAGGAACACCAGUGGCGAAGGCGGCCGGCUGGGGGUGACCUGACGCUGAGGCGCGAAAGCGUGGGGAGCGAACCGG